UAUAUAUAUACACGUUUAAUUUAGCUUGUUACUUUCAAAAUGAUAAUAGAUGAUGAAAAAUCUUUUUUUUAGAAGUGAUUAUGCCGAUGCUAGAUAGAGAAGGGAAUCUGUACGUUUUAUGUAUGUACAUAUUAGCAAAAGAUGAUGGAUUAAUAAAUCGAUACGUACUUGGAGGUGUAUUCAAGGUUUCCACGCGUGCUGCGAGUGCAAGAAAACGUACAGAUCGAGAAUGGCCCUAAAUCGGCACGUGCGAGAGGAGUGCGGUAGAGUUUUGUACACGUGUCCCUUUUGCCACAGCAUCAUGCCAAUGAAGUUCAAUCUGCUCAAUCAUCUGAAGAAGGAACACGGUUGCGUGGCCAAGAUUUGAACGAUAUCCCCGAAAUAAUUUUUCCAUCGAUCUUUCUGCGAAAACUCGUCCAACGAAUCACCCUCGAUCGAUAUUAUCGCGUAAAAAAAAAAGAACUCGAAGACGAGAAUUCGAAAUUCGAUCGUGAUAAUUUUCGAGGGAAAAAUACUGUGUAACGCAGCGAAGAGUCGUUUUUAUGACGACCAAUCAAUAAAGUGUCGACGAAGCAACGAUCCAAUCCGAUAUACCCGUAUUUUCUCUCAAUUCUCUUUUAAUUCUACGAUCGACGAGUAUAUAUAAAUCAUCGAUGUGCUCUUUGUAUCUUUCGUGCGUGUAUCUCUCGUCGUCCGCCAUUAAAUUCGAGAAAGAAGGGAAGAUGGAGAAGGAUUAUCUCAGAAGAGAAGCGAAUAAUUCGUAUUAUCGAUAUUAUCGGUAACAGAUAACAUCGGUGAAAACGAUUGAUUUUACAAUUUCGACUAAUCGUGCGAUUUCUUUUUGCAGGUCGUCUAUAAUUGGAGAUGUUGUAUAUUACAGCUCUUGGAAGAGUCGAAGUAAGAGAGAAACGGGAUGGCGCUCGAAAAUAAAAAAAAAAAAAAGGAAAAGGAAAAAUUAAUUAAACUUUUUAUAACGAAGUUUAUUACACAGGCUUCUCGCCUACAUUAUCUUAACGAUCGGUUAUUAAAGAAAUGUCGUCCAAUUUGAUUCCAUUGUUGAAAUCAUUCAAUCUGCAUCGCGCCUCGACGAUCAUUAUCCUCGAAUUUGGAUAAUUUUUCAUAUCCGUGUAUUAGUUGUAUUCUUCCUCUUAUCAUGGAGAUAAUUUUUUUUCGUUUAAUCGAUUUUUUUUUACCCGGAAAAAUAUUCGUCGAUUCAUUUUAAAAGUUCACAGAAAAUUGAUUUCUACUCGUGUAUCGAUCUCCUUUGUAAUCGCGAUUUCAUCUCUCGAUGAUAUAAUUUUAAAAAAUUUUCCAAGCGAUUUUCAAGAUCGAGGAUCGAAUCAAGAUU